rnacentral:rRNA from 1 species
GUGCAGCAGCCGCGGUAAUACCGGCAGCCCGAGUGAUGACCGAUAUUAUUGGGCCUAAAGCGUCCGUAGCUGGCCGCACAAGUCCGUCGGGAAAUCCACUUGCUUAACGAGUGGGCGUCCGGCGGAAGCUGUGCGGCUUGGGACCGGAAGAUCCGAGGGGUACGUCCGGGGUAGGAGUGAAAUCCCGUAAUCCUGGACGGACCACCGAUGGCGAAAGCACCUCGGAAGGACGGAUCCGACAGUGAGGGACGAAAGCUAGGGUCUCGAACCGGAUUAGAAACCCUGGUAGUC